GCCAAUACAUGCAAGUAGAACGCUGAAAUCUGGUGCUUGCACCGGAUGGAUGAGUUGCGAACGGGUGAGUAACGCGUAGGUAACCUACCUCAUAGCGGGGGAUAACUAUUGGAAACGAUAGCUAAUACCGCAUAACAGUCUUUAACUCAUGUUAGAGGCUUGAAAGGGGCAAUUGCUUCACUAUGAGAUGGACCUGCGUUGUAUUAGCUAGUUGGUGAGGUAACGGCUCACCAAGGCGACGAUACAUAGCCGACCUGAGAGGGUGAUCGGCCACACUGGGACUGAGACACGGCCCAGACUCCUACGGGAGGCAGCAGUAGGGAAUCUUCGGCAAUGGGGGCAACCCUGACCGAGCAACGCCGCGUGAGUGAAGAAGGUUUUCGGAUCGUAAAGCUCUGUUGUAAGAGAAGAACGUGUGUGAGAGUGGAAAGUUCACACAGUGACGGUAUCUUACCAGAAAGGGACGGCUAACUACGUGCCAGCAGCCGCGGUAAUACGUAGGUCCCGAGCGUUGUCCGGAUUUAUUGGGCGUAAAGCGAGCGCAGGCGGUUUGAUAAGUCUGAAGUUAAAGGCUGUGGCUCAACCAUAGUACGCUUUGGAAACUGUCAAACUUGAGUGCAGAAGGGGAGAGUGGAAUUCCAUGUGUAGCGGUGAAAUGCGUAGAUAUAUGGAGGAACACCGGUGGCGAAAGCGGCUCUCUGGUCUGUAACUGACGCUGAGGCUCGAAAGCGUGGGUAGCGAACAGGAUUAGAUACCCUGGUAGUCCACGCCGUAAACGAUGAGUGCUAGGUGUUAGGCCCUUUCCGGGGCUUAGUGCCGCAGCUAACGCAUUAAGCACUCCGCCUGGGGAGUACGACCGCAAGGUUGAAACUCAAAGGAAUUGACGGGGGCCCGCACAAGCGGUGGAGCAUGUGGUUUAAUUCGAAGCAACGCGAAGAACCUUACCAGGUCUUGACAUCCCGAUGCCCGCUCUAGAGAUAGAGUUUUACUUCGGUACAUCGGUGACAGGUGGUGCAUGGUUGUCGUCAGCUCGUGUCGUGAGAUGUUGGGUUAAGUCCCGCAACGAGCGCAACCCCUAUUGUUAGUUGCCAUCAUUCAGUUGGGCACUCUAGCGAGACUGCCGGUAAUAAACCGGAGGAAGGUGGGGAUGACGUCAAAUCAUCAUGCCCCUUAUGACCUGGGCUACACACGUGCUACAAUGGCUGGUACAACGAGUCGCAAGUCGGUGACGACAAGCUAAUCUCUUAAAGCCAGUCUCAGUUCGGAUUGUAGGCUGCAACUCGCCUACAUGAAGUCGGAAUCGCUAGUAAUCGCGGAUCAGCACGCCGCGGUGAAUACGUUCCCGGGCCUUGUACACACCGCCCGUCACACCACGAGAGUUUGUAACACCCGAAGUCGGUGAGGUAACCUUUUAGGAGCCAGCCGUAUUAAGGUUGGAUGA
rnacentral:rRNA from 1 species